AUGGCGUACAGCCAGUUUCCUCCGCGGAGCACGUCCUGUGCUGCUCCAGCCGUUGGGGCUCUCCACCCCGGGCCACAGCCUCCUGGCGCCCCCCGGGCCGAGGCAGCCGGGCCGAGGAGUGUCGGUGUGGUCCGGCUACGGGGCGGGGCCGGCGGGAGCUCCGGUCGCCGCCGCCGCCGCUGCUGCCUCCGCCUGCCUCUUGGGCCGCCCGCUCGCCCGCCGCUGGGUGCGCUGCACGCGGGGGGCAGCCGUGGUGCAGAGGUUCAUGCAGCGGCGGCGGCGGCGGCGGCUGCUGCUGCUGCCGCCGCGGAGGCAGACAGACCGGGCGCUGCCACCGCCGCCCUCCCCCGGCUCCAUGCCGCCGCCGCUGCCGCCUCCUCCUCUCCGGCGAGGGGCGGGGGGCUCCGGCCCGGGGUGGGCACCAUUCCUCGCAGCGCCGCUCCCCUCCCUGCCCUCCGCCCGGGCGCUGGAGCCGGCGAGGGCACCCGCCGCCUCCUAGGAGUGCACCCUCCGCGCGCCCUGCCGGAGCGAGGGGGCGGGCGUGGGCGGACGUCGGGGCAGCGGGGACCCCGCGCGGCUGCAAGAGGAGGGGGCUUCCCCAAGGAUGCCCGGCGGCUCCCCGCUCCUAGGUGCGAGCUGAGUCUGACCGGGAGCGAGCGGCGCGUCGCCAUGCCGGCGUGACGGGCGCCCCCGGCUGCCCGCGCGGGCCCCCGCGCUGCCCCACGCCGCGCCGUGCCGGCACCGGGCUGCAGGAUGGGCUGUAUCCAAAGCAUCACCUGCAAGGCGCGGAUCCGGCGCGAGAACAUCGUGGUGUACGAUGUGUGCGCCACCAUCGACCAGUGCCCCACGCGCAUCGAGGAGACCUCGCCCAUCGUCCUGCGCUACAAGACCCCCUACUUCAAAGCCUCCGCCCGCGUGGUCAUGCCCCCCAUCCCCCGCCACGAGACCUGGGUGGUGGGCUGGAUUCAGGCGUGCAAUCAGAUGGAGUUCUUCAACACCUACAGCGACCUGGGCAUGUCAAGCUGGGAACUGCCUGACUUGAGGGAAGGGAGAGUAAAAGCCAUCAGUGACUCAGAUGGGGUGAGCUACCCUUGGUACGGGAACACCACAGAAACUGUGACCCUGGUUGGCCCCACCAACAAGAUCUCCAGGUUCUCCGUCAGCAUGAAUGACAACUUCUACCCCAGUGUGACAUGGGCAGUGCCUGUGAGUGACAGCAAUGUGCCACUGCUCACAAGAAUCAAGAGAGACCAAAGUUUCACGACCUGGCUGGUGGCCAUGAACACCACCACAAAGGAGAAGAUCAUUCUGCAGACCAUCAAGUGGAGGAUGAGGGUGGACAUUGAAGUGGACCCUCUUCAGCUCUUGGGGCAGCGGGCCCGGCUGGUGGGCAGGACUCAGCAGGAGCAGCCCCGGAUCCUGAGCCGGAUGGAACCCAUCCCCCCUAAUGCACUAGUGAAACCCAAUGCCAAUGAUGCCCAGGUCCUCAUGUGGAGGCCCAAGCGGGGGCCACCUCUGGUUGUGAUCCCUCCUAAGUAGAAGCAGACUGGCCUGACUGUGUGUGGAUCACACGCCUCUGAGACAUGCAGUGAGGGUGCCAGGGGUGGCAGGAGCCAAACAGAGUUUCUGAGCCAAAGCAGACCUCUCGGUUUGCCAGCCUUUGCAGCCACUUUUGAAGAGUAGGGCUGCUCCUUGGGUGGUAGAACCAUAAUCCUUAGGAAAAAUCCCUUCCUCUUAGGAAUAAAGAAAUCACUGAUUUGACAGACUUGCUGUGAUUACCAUGCAAGUAGCCAUAUUUUGGAGCUGACCAGGAUGAUUCUUUUAUCUGAACUAUUGACCAUUUCUUUCCUGUGAGAUGCAGGGGAUGGAAACGAAAUUAAACAGUGCCUGUGGCAAAUGCUGCUUCCCAGCCAAUUAGAAGUAGGAGUGAAAACAUCCACACCAGGUGGUCUCCUAGUAGGACAAGGAAAGCCCAGCAAGCACAACCACAUGGCAGAGACUGAGAAGGAGGAAGUGAGCAAUGGCUGGCGGCUCCAGAAGCUGAAUCCCUGGACAGCUGAUUUCCCAUUAAAAUGUGUGCCAUCCUGCCUACCUCCUCGCCUUCCUCCCGUCCCGUGACCAGUCCCUCCUACCCACCCUCCACGAGCCAUGUGGCACUUGCCCUGGGCUGAUUGGGCUGCCUGCUUGGCCCAUGGGGAGCUGUGUUAAAGUGAGAGUUGUGCCUGCUGUAUCUUUUUGUGUGUAGAAAGAUGGGGUUCAUUCAGAUCCCAAGUCCUUUCCCCAACCCUCAAAGUGAAGCCUCCUAGGGAUGAAGAGCUGGUCAGCCUGGACUUUAAAUACCUAAUGUGGCCCAGCCUUGGUUCCCAAACCCUGCCUUCCCUCCCUAUGCUUUUGGGUGGGAAACGGGGGAUUUGUAUCUCCCUUCCUCCUCCUUCUCCAUGUGGGUGGCCUCUCUAGGUUUCUCUGUGUUCUCUGAUCCUUGGAGAGCCAGAGCCAAGGCAGUCAUCUUGUUCCCCCUUCCACGGCCAGGCUGGGUGCCUUCAGGUGACCAGGGGCAGAGUGUAAGUCACCAGGUUCAAUGGGGUGAGGGGAGAACCACCUUAAGAGGGAAAAAAUGGUGUGCAUUGGUUUAUUUAUUGGUUUAUUUAUUGGCUUGCUUACUGAUGUAUUUAUUUGUAUUUAUUAUACAACACAAAAUCCAUUUCCAUUUUUUAAGCAUCAGCCCCAGAAUUUGUCUUCCUGGGCCCAUAGAGCACAGCGAAUUAUUUCUCUUUGAAGCUUCAGAAUAGAGAGGGAAAUUUUUCUCCUUACGCCCAAACACCUCCACCUCAGCCACAUUUUCAACCAGACAUGGGAUUAGAAAUCACCAGCUAACAAGGCUGUAAAGUCACACAAAUCAGCAGAGGCUUGACUGUCUAGAUAGCCCUCAGAAUCCGGCCUCCACCCCAACCACCUUGCACCAGUCUUCUCAUUCUCCUUUACUCAGGUGGGGAUUGACCAGCCAUCUUCAGCCUAACAGUGCAGAACAAAACUUCUCAUUCUGCUCUGAUGUAGUAUUCUAACAUCAGAUGCACGUUAGAAUCAUCUGAGGAGCUUAAAAAAUAUCCAUGCCUGGUCCCCUGCCCAAACCAAUUAUAGCAUCGAAGGGUAGAUCCUGGGCAUCGGAGUUUUUUAAGUUACCCAGAUGACUCUAAUGUGAAAAUAGGGUUGGAAAGUUCUAGUAUCACCUCUCCCUUGCCCCUCCCCACCCAGAUUCUUUCAUCUCUACUUCCCAAGCUUUCUCUGGAGUCCUCUUCCCGUUCCUCCAGCCCCUUCUCCUCUCUGCACCUUCCCCAUCAGCUCAGCCAACCAUAGCAGAUCCCUGGAGAGGGGGCAGGUCCCAUGAGUGGUACUCUGAGGCUGGUUCCUGCAUCCAGCCUGCGGGCUGCUCCCAAACAAUUUCCAGCUUUUCUAGGAGCAGAAACCUACUCUCUGCAGGAUUCUCUGUUCACCUGCACCUUCUCCAGGUUCCCAAACUCCAAAAGUUUAAAGGGCACUUUGGCGACAUUUCUGUCUCCAAGCCCCAGUCUUGAUGGUAUGGCCCAUGUAAGUCUUAUAACCCAAGCCUUGGCCAUUUCUGCAGAGCCACCUGAGUUGAAUGAGGAUCUACUGUUAACAGAGAAAGGGGUCACAGUGCUCCCCCAGCAAGUCCUUUUUCCAACAACCAACCUCCUCAGCCAUCUAGGAUUUGGGUCCACAAUGCAGCAGCUACUGUGCAUUCAAAUCCUAGAUGGCUGAGAAGAGGCAUCUCACCCUUCACAUCUACAAGAUCUCCACUGCUGGGUAUGAGUAAAUGUGUGUGUGAGUGCGUGUACACGUACAUGUGCACACACUGUCUACAUACAAACCAUCUAGAUCUAUAGAGAUGCCAGGCUUCACUUUACAUGUGAUUACAUUCUACAUGAAAACAGUUGAGGGCUUUUGUUAUCUUUCACUUGAUGGAGUUUCACUGUAUUAUGUUCAUGAUGGGCCCCAGUGAACUCCAUAUCAGGUAUAUACAUAGAAUGUAUAAUAUAUACAAACUGUUAGACACACUACACACACACACACACACACACACACACACACACACAAAGCCUAGGGAAACCUGUGAUGUGGGUAAGUUCAUUUUGCCAUCCCAUCUCCUCCAUCUAAGUAAUUUCCCGGGGCAAGCAUUGUUUCACACACUCCCCUCAGCUGCCCAGCCAUUCCCUCUCCAGCGUCCCAUACCACCAAGCCUUCUUUCCCCAUCAGUCCAAAUGUCCCUGCCCUAUGUCCCAUCUCUCAGGGUCCUACUCUCUGAUAGGUGACAGUUCAGUCAGUGGGUGCUAAAGAGUCGAGUGUUACCCUUCCCAGGUGACAUUUACAUUUUAAUAGGGGCUACAGAUAAUGCCUUAAUCAGAAAGAGUGGCUGUAGUGGUGGGAAUUUCAGGCCCAGAAGUGGGCCAGUAAGGGAGAUUCUUUUAUAUCAGGAGGGCAUUUUAGAGCCCCCGAGUCAUACCUGUCUGUAAGCGCAGCCCUUCAUAAGUGCAUGAGCACAAGCAAGCACACUUGCCUACAUUAUACCCUCCAUAAUUUUGAGAUACCUCCCUUGCAUUGGCCCUAUCUUUAAAAAUGAAAAAAAAAAACCCAAAAAAAACAAAAACAAAACAGGGAACUAGCUAAAUUAAUUUAGAUCUCGCUGGGAAACGUAGCCUAUUUUUUCACCGGCUGCCAGCCAUCUGGCCCACCCCACCCUGUUCAAUUUCCCUUCUGCUCUUUAUCUUUUCAGCUAUGACUGACUAUAUCAGUUAAUUUACUUGUACGUGUCCUCUCUGCUGUCUCCUUACCCUGCUCCCCUACACCAUGUAUUUCCUUCCUUUACCAUUUCCUCCUUGGAAUUGUGCUGUGUUUCGUUGUCCUGGAGGACAGAAGAGCAGGUUAAGGCAUGAGCAUGUGUGUAUCACUUUGAAGAAAGAGAAACCAGGUAUUCUGCUACAGUUUGGAGAAAAACCCAAUGAAGGAAGAAAUGAAAGCUGGCUCUGCAGAGUGCCUUAAAAAUGACUUUAAUUAGGAAAUUCUGAGUUGUCAGUCUUCAGAUGUUACAUAAACUCAAACAGAUGUUGCAUUUCACUUCUCUGGGAUUAAAAAAAGUUAAAUACAGUGUGUAUUCAACAACAACAACAAAAUAUGUUUUCUCUUUAAUUUUGUCCUCAAAGAUGCAGUGCCUGGUUUUCUACAAAACCUGGGGAUGGCCCCAGGAACAAGCAAGCUCUGGAACAUACAGAGGGCAGAUGCAGGAAUCCUGCCCAGCUAGGAAAGCUCUGGCAGGCUAAGGCAUAAUGUUGCCAUCAAAUUUGGUCCAAAAGACAAUUCUAAGAUGGGAAAAAGCAUGGACAACUGUAAGGGGAAGAAAGGGAUCCUCACCCUUCUCCCUAAUGACACGCUUUGGGCUUAGUCUUUUGGGGCUGCUAUAACCAAAUAUCCUAAGUUGGGUGGCCUAUAAACAACAGAAAUGUAUUUCUCACUGUUCUGGAAGCUGGGAAGUCCACGAUCAAGGCUCUGGCAGAUUCGAUGACUGGGGAGGCCCUGUUUUCUAGUUCGUACUUGGCACCUUCCAGCUGUGCCCUCACGUGGUGCAAAGGACAAAUGAGCUUCCUUGGGCCUCUCUUACAAGAGGUCUGUCUUCAUGACCUAAUCACCUCCCAAAAGCCCCACCCCCUAAUACUAUCACCAUGGGGGUUAGGAUUUCAACAUGAAUUUGUGGGGGAUACAAAUAUUGGAACAUAGCACUCUCCUCAUCUAUGAUUCGGUGCUGUGAAAUUGGGAGAAAGAGAACAUUCUAGAAUCAGAGGAUAAAGUUUGCCCUUCCAUCUCUUUCGUACUACCAUUUCUUCCUGGAACACCCUUGACCAGAUUCUGCUUUGCUUUUGCUAAAUUAUUUUACUUUAGCUUAAUGUUUGCCACCUAGGAUCUGAUCAAAACAGGUCAUCUUAAAGUUUGAGUUCCUGAGGCAGUUAGGUUUCUGGAAUGUUGCCUUCUCUCCCUGAGUGUUGGUAUACGUAAAUGGUCAGAUUCAUCCAGGCAAGAGUGGGAACUGCAGGGUUGGAAGAGAGGUCUUGAGGUGUACUUGGAUUCUGAAAACUAUGGAGGUUGACAGGACUGAAGACCUAGCCUAUUAGAGCCCUCCUCCUGCCCGUCCCCACCACCUGCACUCUGAUCUUUCCACAAGAUAUAUGACCCUUCUGUGGGGUCCACAGUUUUAAGAGGGCUGAAAGUCACUAAUUCACAUUCAUUCAUUCAUUCAUUCAUAUUCUCUCUCUCUCUCUACACACGCACACACACACACCAGUCAAAAGAGGGAGAGCAAGGAGACCCAGAUAUUGAAAUAAAAAGUGGUAAAUAGUGGUUAUCACUCCUGGAAAAAAAAUUUAAGAAAAGGGCCUCUGCCAUGCAUGUCAUGGGGUGAGGGAGUAUUUUUAAAUAUACAUAUGUCUAACUAAGACGCCUCUACCCUCACCAGGUGGCCUGAGCAGCACAUGCUCAACUCUGGAGCAAGCAGCUUUGCAGACACAUUUUAGAAAAGGGAUUCCUGCAUCUUCUCUAUCAGAAUGCAUGAUCUCUGGAAAGAACAAUUGGCACUUUUUUCUUAGUUCAUUCAUUUCAAGAAAUAAAUAAGGAACUGGCAAUUGCUGAA